CGACAAAUCACUGCUGUACAGGAGUUCAAGGAACCAUACCCGACACCUGCUAGCACUGAGACGCUUAGUAUAGCCUAUAUGGAGCUCAUGAAUAUGCAUGCCUAUCCGCAAAUCCAGGGUGGGGCCAAGUUCACCCUUCAACUUAGAUUAAAAACAGACGACGAUAUAGCUAAUAUUACCAUAACCACAGCCAUUAGGCUUACAUAUGCGGACGGUACGCUAAUUCCUAAGGAGUUCAUUUUCCAGGAAAUCUAUAAAGCAGUCAAGGUGUUUGCAGAAAACUACGGCGAUUCUGAGGUCCUGGCUAUCAUGAUAAGUUGUUAUACCGAUGGGUGUUUAGAUGUAGUACGACUUCCUACUAAAGAAGAAUCUGAUAAUUCUUUAAAGAAUGUUUUCUAUAAGUAUUGCGAAAUCACUAAUUUUAAAAAACCUAUGACGCCCAAAAACCAGCAUAAAGUAGCUCGCUAUAAUUGCUAUAUAACAAAAGAAAAUCAAGUGAUAAAGAACAAAACGAAAUUCAUAGUGGCCGAUCUAGAAACGAUUCCCUAUAAAUUAGGAGAAAACGACGAAUACAAUACACACGUCCCCUACGCAGGGGGGUAUAUGACGAUUGAUACGGAUAAGGGAUUAGAUGAAAAUAAAAUUAUAAUGUUCUAUGCUGAUGACUACAAAAUACUAUACGAAGAUUUUAAGUCAAUGAGUACAAAGAUGCUCACAGUUAUGAUGAACAGGUUGAUCAAAGAAGCCAGAUCAGCAAGAACAUGUUUGGUAGUAUACUUUCAUAAUUUAGGUCAGUUCGAUGGUCUUUUUAUACUAAGGCAUUUAACAAUGGAACACAGGGGUUUGGUAGUAGAACCCUUGGUUCGAAACCGUAUUAUUUACAAGAUAAGUGUCUAUACAGUAUCCCCCAAGGGCAGGC
rnacentral:misc_RNA from 1 species